GAUGAACGCUGGCGGCGUGCCUAAUACAUGCAAGUCGAGCGAACGGACGAGAAGCUUGCUUCUCUGAUGUUAGCGGCGGACGGGUGAGUAACACGUGGAUAACCUACCUAUAAGACUGGGAUAACUUCGGGAAACCGGAGCUAAUACCGGAUAAUAUUUUGAACCGCAUGGUUCAAAAGUGAAAGACGGUCUUGCUGUCACUUAUAGAUGGAUCCGCGCUGCAUUAGCUAGUUGGUAAGGUAACGGCUUACCAAGGCAACGAUGCAUAGCCGACCUGAGAGGGUGAUCGGCCACACUGGAACUGAGACACGGUCCAGACUCCUACGGGAGGCAGCAGUAGGGAAUCUGCCGCAAUGGGCGAAAGCCUGACGGAGCAACGCCGCGUGAGUGAUGAAGGUCUUCGGAUCGUAAAACUCUGUUAUUAGGGAAGAACAUAUGUGUAGUAACUGUGCACAUCUUGACGGUACCUAAUCAGAAAGCCACGGCUAACUACGUG
rnacentral:rRNA from 1 species